UCCGUAGGGUGCGAUCGUUAAUCGGAAUUACUGGGCGUAAAGCGUGCGCAGGCGGUUUUGUAAGACAGAGGUGAAAUCCCCGGGCUUAACCUGGGAACUGCCUUUGUGACUGCAAGGCUUGAGUGCGGCAGAGGGGGAUGGAAUUCCGCGUGUAGCAGUGAAAUGCGUAGAUAUGCGGAGGAACACCGAUGGCGAAGGCAAUCCCCUGGGCCUGCACUGACGCUCAUGCACGAAAGCGUGGGGAGAAAACAGG
rnacentral:rRNA from 1 species